GUGGAUGCGUGAGUGAAUGUCUGUGUGAAUGGGUGGUUUGUUGUUACUGUGAGUGUUUUCUUCAUUUGUCUAAUCUACACGUUGAUCUUAUUCGAUCGGGCUGGUGUGGAGCCCGGCCCAGCUUGAAAUGAGAAGACUUCCUCCGUGAGCUGAUGGUCAUCCUUCGGCAAUGCGCGUGAGGCAACGAGAACGGGCACGGAAAGUUCAGAGGUGAUGAGUCGAUCAGAUAUACUAGGCCAGGGUGGCUUGUAUCCUCACGGGAUUGAGGCGGCAAACUUGGCCCAUGAGUAUAGAGGCGAUUCUGAUCUGA